AUUUGUUCCUGAAAAAUUAAAUUCAUUGCAACAUUUGUGAAAGGUAUUAGAGCUGCACAGUGUAUGCAAUUGCCAAACAAUCAAAGUCCUUUGGUCCAUAGUGCAAACUUUCCUGAGAAAUGGAAUGAGUACAUUCAAGACUAGACUAUCUGAAACCAUGAAGGGUCACAAUACAGGAGAUGCAUUUCACUGUAUUAUAACAUUAUUACUUUGAGAUGUACAGAGGUUAUAGUAACAUACCGAAGAUUUUACAAACUCUUGGAUAUGGGGUCCACAUACCUUCUGAAAUGUGUCUGAACAUUCUCCAGGUGCAGCUUUCCAUGAGCAGCAAACGGGUCUGUAGCCACAACGACAGCCCACCUAUCAUGAACUGAUGGCCACAGAGGUGGAAGCUUAGAAAACAGUUUUCUUUUCCUGGUGGGUGUUUCCAUGAGGUGAUAGAGAAUUCAGCAAGAAUAAAAGCUGUCCCUAAAGCCUGCCUGCUCCUUGGCCUUCAACUGCAUUUCAACCAGCAGCAUUUCAGUAGACAGAAGAGAAAGGUGGAUCUGCACUUGAUGCACAGCAAUAAUACAGAUGUGGUGGUAACCGAGCAGUUCCCUGAGUGCCAGACGAUCAGUCAACAGAGGAGGCUGCUACAGGGCGGGGUUAUUGGGAAGAACACAAGAAGGAGCUCCAGAACUGGUGUGUCGUGUAGCACACGUGUUUGUUCAAGGCUCCCGCACUGCAAGCGAACAGAAUACUUUGAAGGAGAGACGCUACUUCAGUUCUACUGACUGUAAAACAUUAACUCAUGUUUUCAGCCAAGUGGCUGCAGCGAAUCAACUUGUGAUUAUGAGCAUUCAACAUUCUGUGUGCCACUUAUGUACCUUCAGCAUCAAUUUUGCAGCUGGCAAACUAUUGCUAUUUAUGUUUUCAGUGCAUCUGAAAUAAUCUAGAAGUUAUUUUACUUCCAUUACACAUUAAGAAAAGAACCAACUGUAAAAUCAUUACUUUGCCAAUUUACUGUGAAACC
rnacentral:lncRNA from 1 species